rnacentral:rRNA from 1 species
UACUGGGGAUGCGAGCGUUAUCCGGAUUUAUUGGGUUUAAAGGGUGCGUAGGCGGGAUGCCAAGUCAGCGGUAAAAAUGCGGUGCUCAACGCCGUCGAGCCGUUGAAACUGGCGUUCUUGAGUGGGCGAGAAGUAUGCGGAAUGCGUGGUGUAGCGGUGAAAUGCAUAGAUAUCACGCAGAACUCCGAUUGCGAAGGCAGCAUACCGGCGCCCUACUGACGCUGAGGCACGAAAGCGUGGGUAUCGAACAGG